UACGUAGGGUGCAAGCGUUAAUCGGAAUUACUGGGCGUAAAGCGUACGCAGGCGGCUGUGUAAGACAGGUGUGAAAUCCCCGGGCCUAACCUGGGAACUGCAUUUGUGACUGCAUAGCUAGAGUCUGUCAGAGGGGGGUGGAAUUCCACGUGUAGCAGUGAAAUGCGUAGAGAUGUGGAGGAACACCCGAUGGCGAAGGCAGCCCCCUGGGAUAAGACUGACGCUCAUGUACGAAAGCGUGGGGAGCAAACAGG
rnacentral:rRNA from 1 species